CCUACGGGAGGCAGCAGUGGGGAAUAUUGGACAAUGGGCGGAACCCUGAUCCAGCGACGCCGCGUGAGUGAAGAAGUAUUUCGGUAUGUAAAGCUCUAUCAGUAGGGAAGAAAGAAAUAACGGUAACUGACUAAGAAGCUCCGGCUAACUACGUGCCAGCAGCCGCGGUAAUACGUAGGGGGCAAGCGUUAUCCGGAUUUACUGGGUGUAAAGGGAGCGUAGACGGCGGUGCAAGGCUGAGGUGAAAGGCGGGGGCCCAACCCCCGGACUGCUUUGGAGACUGGAUGGCUGGAGUGCAGGAGAGGGAAGUGGAAUUCCUAGUGUAGCGGUGAAAUGCGUAGAGAUUAGGAGGAACACCAGUGGCGAAGGCGGCUUACUGGACUAGAACUGACGUUGAGGCUCGAAAGCGUGGGGAGCAAACAGGAUUAGAUACCCUAGUAGUC
rnacentral:rRNA from 1 species